CCAAUAGCGUAUAUUAAAGUUGUUGCAGUUAAAAAGCUCGUAGUUGAAUUUCGGGAUUGACGUGAUGGUCGUGCCUUAAGGGGUAUGAACUGUUACUGUUGAUUUCUCACCUUCUGGAGAAUCUUGAUGUCCUUAAUUGGGUGUCUUGUGGAUCCAGGACCUUUACCUUGAAAAAAUUAGAGUGUUUAAAGCAGGCAUUUUGCUCGAAUACAUUAGCAUG
rnacentral:rRNA from 1 species